AAAUUUCAAGAGAGAAUUUUUUUUUCGGUCUGACUCAAUAAUCAAACCGGAUCAAUAUCAAUUGUGCGUAAAACAAACUCGCUAACCACCGAAGUAACUUGGGGCUGUGGUUACUGGUCUCCCAAUCUGAGCUGUUCCCGCUGUUUCUUUGGUUUAAUCCAAUCCAGCAAGAAAAUGUCCUCACUAUUCUGAGUCUCUGACUCACUCGGUAUGCCCCUCUUCUCUUCUGCCUCCAUCCCAGCUCGCCUCAGGUGGAAGAACCUCUCUUCAUUCCCAUCACCGUCUCCUUGUCCUCCCAUUAGCUUCUCUGUGCUCAGCGUUUCAUCUCCCACCAGAACUAACCCAAACGAUAACAACAACCACCACCACCACCAAGACCCAAUCGAAGAAGAACCGCCAUUAUCAAACCAACUAUUCAAGUCGGCUCCCCAACUGGGUUCUUACAAAUCCGGCGACCGCACCUUCUACUCCCUCAUAGACAGCUACGCCGACUCCGGCGACUUCCGGUCGCUGCAAACCCUCUUCGAUCGCAUGAAGCGCGAGAGGAGGGUAUUUGUGGAGAGGAGCUUUAUCAAAGUAUUCAAAGCCUACGGAAAAGCCCAUUUACCCAAAAAAGCCGUGGACUUGUUUCACAGGAUGGCGGGAGAUUUCCAGUGCACACCAACUGUUCGAUCAUUUAACUCUGUUCUUAACGUUGUUAUACAAGAGGGUAUGUAUCGGUUUGCAUUGGAGUUUCAUGCUGAUGUUGUUACUAGUAGGAAGAGUAUUUCGCCUAAUGUGCUCACUUUUAAUUUAGUGAUCAGAGCAAUGUGCAAGUUAGGACUGGUUGAUAGAGCUGUCGAGUCGUUUAGAGAGAUGCCGAUGAGGAGAUGUGUUCCGGAUGUGUUUACUUACUGCACUUUGAUGGAUGGGUUGUGCAAGGAGGAUAGGAUCGACGAGGCGGUGUUGCUGUUGGAUGAGAUGCAAAUAGAAGGGUGUUUCCCCAGUUCCGUGACUUUUAAUACCUUGAUCAAUGGGCUUUGCAAGAAAGGCGACUUGGGUCGAGCUGCAAAACUUGUGAACAACAUGUUCCUUAAAGGUUGCAUUCCAAACGAAGUAACUUAUAACACCCUUAUCCAUGGUUUGUGUCUUAAAGGUAAGUUGGACAAGGCGAUUAGUCUUUUGGAUAGGAUGGUAUUGGAUAAAUGUGUUCCUAAUGAUGUUACGUAUGGCACGAUCAUCAAUGGGCUUGUUAAGCAAGGGAGAGUUGUUGAUGGUUUUCAAGUGAUGGUUUCUAUGGAGGAAAGAGGGCGUUGCGCUAAUGAGUUUGUUUACUCGACACUUAUUAGUGGGCUGUUCAAGGAGGGGAAAUCUGAAGAGGCAAUGAAACUUUGGGAGGAAAUGUCGCAGAAGGGAUGCAAACCAAAUACUGUUGUCUUUAGUGCACUUAUGGAUGGUUUAUGUCGAGAAGGAAAACCUGAUGAAGCUAAGAAAAUCCUCUCUGAGAUGGUUAAUAAUGGUUGCAUGCCCAAUGCUUUCACCUACAGUUCCUUGAUGAGGGGUUUCUUCAAAGUGGGCGAUAGCCACAAAGCAAUCCUUGUGUGGAAAGAGAUGGCAGAUAACAGUUGUAGGGAUAGUGAUGUUUGUUACAGUGUAAUUAUUAGUGGCCUUUGCGAGGUUGGGAAGCUUAAAGAAGCUAUGAUGGUGUGGAAACAAAUGUUGGGCAGAGGAUGCAAACCUGAUGUUGUGACUUAUACUUCAAUGAUUCAUGGUCUAUGCAAUGCUGGGUCCGUGGAGCAGGGAUUAAAACUCUUCAAUGAGAUGCUUUGCGAGGAGUCUGCUUCUAAUCCAGACGUAAUCACAUAUAACAUACUUUUCCACGCUCUGUGCACACAAAGCAGCAUUUCCCCUGCCAUUGAUCUUCUGAAUAAUAUGUUGGAUCAAGGCUGUGAUCCUGACUCUGUCACAUGUAACAUUUUCUUAAAAGCGUUGAGAGAGAAGCUGGACCCUCCACAAGAUGGGAGCCAGUUUCUGGAUGAACUUGUCGUCCAGUUAUACAAUCGACAAAGAAUUGAUGCAACUUCCAAAAUUGUUGAGCUAAUGCUCCAAAAGUUUCUUCCUUUAAAGGCCUCCACUUGGGAAAAGGUUGUUCGAGCACUUUGCAAACCAGGGAAGGUUCGAGUAGCCAUUGAUAAUUGUUGGAGUGACCUGUUCUCCUGAUGUAUUAGGUGAGGCUUUCUGCAGUGAUAUACUGUGGUGAUAGUACAAUAUCGAUUAUUAAAAAAAUGAUGGAAGUGGUGUGGUGUUUUUGUUUGGGCAGUGAACUACAAACCACUUAUUCAUCUCCAUAGAAUGUUGUACCGUCUGUACUUUGUAUAGUUCUUGUGGCUGUGCCAGGCUACCAGCAUGUCCAGCUCUUAGACUCACUAUUUGUAACGUACUCUGACAAGUAACGAAACUUUCUUUCAUUCUUGGUACCUCAUUUCUCUAUAAAAACCUAGUGGCGUGAAAGGAUCUCUCUCCCCAGAUUUAUUAAUGGCAUGAAGCUGGCAUGGUGGAUUGUGCACAUUUAAAUGUCAUUGUACUAAAAAAAAAAUUCCGUUCAUAUUAUCUGUUGAAGCCAAAAUCUGGACAAUUGAUCCGAGCACUUCGAUGGGACUCCUGCCCAGCCCGAAUGAUCACGCUGAGAAUUCUUUGGAAAGGAUUCCCUGCGACAGGAAGUCCAAGGACUGGCGGUGUUUCCAGUUGUGGACCCUCCGACGAUGAAGUUAGUCGGGGAAUGACACAGAGAAAGUAUGGUAAAAGAGGGAAACAAAGUGUCUACGUUUUCAUUGCGAGUGUGAGUGUUUUAUAUAGACCUGGUGCAAGGUGUGUGCCGGUUGUGGGAUCAUGGGAUAGUGGAGUAGUGGGCAUGGAUCAUGGAGUAGUGGGGUGGUUCCCACGAAGUGGGUGGAAGUUACAUCCUCAUGGACCGGAAAUUGGUGGGGAGCUGGAGAUCGUGGGAGAGUGUUAACUUCCUCCCCACGGCGUCACCAAUCAAGGACAGGCAUGGGUGGCGAUCGUGGGGACUUCGCCGACCAGGAGUACCUCCUACUGAGCAGUGCAUUCUCAGCCGAGCAGGUUGGCUGGUCCGAGCAGCAAUAGCCUGCCGACCGACAUAAGCCUUGCCGAGCACCCGGCCAUGUGUCUUACCCGUAGUGCUUGGGAUUAGUGAUAAAAAUUCAUACUCAUCAUUAUCUAUUUCAGGAACUGAUUUGGCUUCUUUCUUUUUUUUUUCCUUCCUGCGAUGAGUAUAGUGUGAAAAUUUGCUUUGUUUUUUUUAAUCCAUUUAUUACUCAUAAUGUGCAUGAGUAGUGGUAUUUGUUUUGUUUCUUGAUGAUUUAGAUGUUUGAUUUUGUUGUCAAACAACUUUGUUACAUGGACCCGGUUGUGGAUAUCGGGUGCGGCAAGGUCUCUAGUGUUCAAUAUAGGUACUUGCACACAUAUAGAAGCGUUCAUGUAACAUAGGCAAACAAUAUAUCAUAUGGGACACCGUUUUGAUUAAUAUAUUGGGUUAUGUGGUUUUUUGCCAGGAUGGGGUGGACCAGUUGGAUAUGUCUACCAGAAGGCGAAUGUGGAGUUUUUCUGCUCCAAGGAGAAGUUGAAUGCUCUUAUUGAGAAAUGCAAGGCAUUCCCAUCUCUGACCUACACGGAGGUGAACAAAGCUGGAUAUCUAACGUCAGCAUCAAACUGAUGCGAAUGCGGUGACAAGAGGAGUCUUCCCAGCCAAGGAAAUCAUCCAACCGACUGUCUGGAUAUCUAACGUCAGCAUCAAACUGAUGCGAAUGCGGUGACAUGAGGAGUCUUCCCAGCCAAGGAAAUCAUCCAACCGACUGUCGUUGAUCCUUCAAGCUUCAUCGUGUGGAAAGACGAGCCAUUUGAAAUCUGAUCAAGAGGAUGGGCUCAAUUAUACCCAGAGGGUGACCCAUCCAGAAAGCUGCUGGAGGAGGUGCAGAUCAGCUACUUCUUGAUCAACUUGGUCGAUAAUGAUUACGUCGACAGUGAUUUAUUUGCUGUGUUCAAGGAACUCUGAGAUGAUGAUGAUGAAAGGAUUUCUCCCCUUUGAUGGCUAUCUCUCGCUUGCUUCAAUGCCCACCAACCAAAGCGAUUGAAAUCAAGAUCGUCUUUGGCUUGAGGGAGACUACCAUUCAUUUUACCCAUAAAAAGAGACUAUCAUUCAUUCCUGUGAUUUUUUUUUUUUCCCUCCCCCUGGAUUGAUUGUCCUCUAUCUAUGGCUAUGUAAUAGCACAAUCGCUUUGGAUUUGGGUUCCUACUGAUAGCUUUCUACUUGCAUAAAUGAAAGAAAAGAAUGGAGUAGAACAGUAAUGGAAACGGAAUUGAAUUGAA